rnacentral:rRNA from 1 species
UAUUUAUUAGAUAACAGACCAAUAUUCCUCGUGUCUAUUGUGGUGACUCAUAGUAACUGAUCGGAUCGCAUGGCCUUGUGCCGCGACUAACCAUUCAAGUUUCUGACCCAUCAGCUUUCGAUGGUAGUGUAUUGGACUACCAUGGCUUUCACGGGUAACGGAGGAUUAGGGUUCGAUUCCGGAGAGGGAGCCUGAGAAACGGCUACCACAUCUAAGGAAGGCAGCAGGCGCGUAAAUUACCCAAUCCUGACUCAGGGAGGUAGUGACAAGAAAUAACGGGUCGGGGCAUUCGCCUCGGGAUUGCAAUGAAUCGAAUUUACACCCCUUAAUGAGGAUCAAUUGGAGGGCAAGUCUGGUGCCAGCAGCCGCGGUAAUUCCAGCUCCAAUAGCGUAUAUUAAAGUUGUUGCAGUUAAAAAGCUCGUAGUUUGAUUUCUGGACGGGCGCCGACACCCGCUUGUUUAGUGUGGAGGCGGCGCCCGCCCAUCCUUCUGUUAACGCCACCGGCAUUCGUUUGCUGGCGGCGGGCUCAGAUAUUUUACCUUGAGAAAAUUAGAGUGUUUUCAGGCAGGCUUGCG